rnacentral:lncRNA from 1 species
AAUAUUGGAUAUAAAUGGAAACAGUAUAUCCAAAUAUUGAAGAACCAAUGCAUGUGAGUGAUGUAGUUGAGAUUGCAAAUCUUUAUCCAUUUACUUUUGACCUUUCUCCAACAUAGCUUCAUACAAUAAAAGUAAUAUGAUUUCCUAUUCGCAAUAUUAUUGGCAAUUACAAUAAAAAUUCUUUUACUCAUUAUAUAGAUAAAUAUAGAAUUAUAAAUGAAUGUACAAAUGUAUUAAUAUUAGCAUGACAUUUGUAUGUUAAUAUAAUUUGAAUUUGAAAUGAGUCUAGAUGUUUAAGUUCAAAGUGAUAUCAGAUUGUUAAGAUUCUUACAGACAUGCUA